CUUUAUUAUUGUUUCUUAAGCCUGAUACAAUAUUAGACGCAAGAUGUCUCGUUACUUCUUAGUUUUUGUGGCCCUCUUGGUGGUUGUGGCAGUUUGCACCCAAGGCGCUGAGGCUCAAAACAAGUCAGGUAGAUGUCCAAGGGUUCCAGGAGGAUCAGGUGGAAUAUGCGUAGAGGGGUGUUCUGGUGACCGCAGUUGUCCAGGCCGUCAGAAGUGUUGCAGUAACGGUUGCGGACGCGUCUGCAAAAACCCUGUCUAGUUUCUAUCAUAAUAUUUAUCUCCUCUUCAUUAAGUUCGUGUUGUUUCGUUCUUAUUACACUGUACUAGAGCGCUUCGGUGAAAUCUAGCAACGGCAGUGUACUAUAGCCUUAACUUUAUAAUAAUAAUAAUAUCAGCCCUGUAUUAUAUACUUGCCCACUGCUGAGCACGGGCCUCCUCCACUACUGAGAGGGAUUAGGCCUUAGUCCACCACGCUGGCCUAGUGCGGAUUGGUAGACUUCACACACCUUCGAAAUUCCUAUAGAGAACUUCUCAGAUGUGCAGGUUUUCCUCACGAUGUUUUCCUUCACCGUUAAAGCGAACGAUAAAUUCACAAAGAAUACACACAUGAUUUUUUAGAAAAGUCAGAGGUGUGUGCCCUUGGGAUUUGAACCUGCGGACAUUCGUCUCGGCAGACCGUUCCAUACCCAACUAGGCUAUCGUCGCUGCUUAACUUUACCUUUACGGAAAAAACUUGAUAUUUAGAGAGUGUAAAAUCUUUUACGCAGGAAUCUCAAUCUUAAGGAUAAGCAUAAUAAUCUUAAAGCUAGAGCUGUGUGUACGGUAUUUGACAUUAAUCCUGUAAAUUUAUUUUGUGAAUUAAAUAUAUACAUCCUUAAAGUGUGUAUAGUAUUUACCUAUAUUAUCGACGUACAGUAAAAAUAUCUAUCUAGAGUGUCAAAAAUACUUAAAACAAAAUAAUAAUAUAGUGAUAAAAAAUAUUUUUUUUGUAUUACUUAAUACGUCAUAGUUUAUUUACUAGUGGUCGUAUUUAAUCCUUAAUCUUCGAGCCGAUGUAACAACCAAAAUAAGUGAUUUGUAAGCAAGUAAAAUAUUUAUUGUAAUACAAAAUGAUAUAUUUUUGCGAUGGAUCAGAAAAAAACGAGAUAAUCGUUUAUUAAAAACGGCAAUAAACAAUCCUAAUCUUAUUCUUCGAGCAGAUAAAACAAUCAAAAUAAAUUAUUUGUACAUAUGGAAAAAAUAUUUAUUAUGAUUAAAAUUGAUACAUUUUGUCGAUACAUACGAAAAAGUGAUAAUUGUUUAUUGAAAACAGUGGUAACACAAUGUAAAUAAACUUUUGGUAUUUAAGUUAACUGCUUCCAAGCAAGCUAUGUCAUAAGAUAUUUUACUGACGUCACUUGUCCGGGCCGAGAUAAAUGCUGCAGCAGCGGUUGUGGAUACGAUUGCAAAGGACCUGUGUAAUAAUAUAAAUUUAUAUUGAGGUCUUAUUGUCUAUGCCAUACGUUAUUUUAAAGUAUGUAACGCACCGCGUCACGUUUAAAAAAAUAUAAAUUGGCGUAUAGCCAUUCCACGCUAAUUCGACGAAAAUAAUGUAACGACCGUGUUUGAGUUUACUGUCAUAGAGAAUAAGGUGGUAGUAUAAGCUAUAGUCGCCGAUUACCUCGGUGGCGUAAUUGACCUGCAUGCGCGUUACGGUAGCAUUCUCAGGUCCUGGGUUCGAAUCCCGGGUAGGGCUAAGUCAUAUUUGGGUUUUUCUGCUCAGUAUCAACCCCGUGUCUAGAAUUUGUGCCCGAUAUGGCGAUAGACUCGCCCCCUAUCACAUCAUGGGACGGAACACACUCGGCGAAAAGUGGGUGCCCUGGUUGCACCUCUGCUUACCCCUUCGGGGAUAGCUGCGUGAUGUGUGUUAGUGUGUAAGCUGUAGUGCUAUUCUAAGGUUACUGUCAUAGAGAAUAAGGCCCCUGUAGUUUUAUUCUUUAAAAACACAGCGUGAAAUGAGGUGAUCAUCGACAUCUCGGCUGAUAUAUGUGAUUAUUAUUUAAGCACAGAGAUUAUUCAAGUAGAUAAUUGUUAUUCGUUGUAAUGUAGGUAUUAAAGAUAUCACAUUUAUUGAUAUUGCUUUUUGAUAUAACCUCGCAUUUUUUUCUGGUUUAUUUUUAUUGUCAAGCUGUUUGUAUGAUGAUAUUGCUCAUUUUAAUAUUGCGUUACUAGAUGAAAUCGUAAUGGUCUUCUUGAGAAUAACAUUACAAUAAGUUACUCUAACCGUAGAUGUACAAUGUAAAAGUGUGAGUGACGAACAAAAUAAAUACUGUAAGAGAAUUCGUCGCACCGGCAACAACACAUUUGAAGUCAGAAAUACACUCUCGCAUAUUCACACUUAAAUACAGUGUCAAAAAAUUUGUAAACUAAAAUCGGGAGAUUUAGGGCCUGUACCUGAUCAGAUUAUCAUGCGCAGGAACAACUGCUUUACAUGCUUACCGGGGCUUAGGGUAUUGCAGCACCAAUUUCCUGGCUCCGAGCUGCGACAGAGCAACUUUUAAUAUGGAAAAAUUCAGUUACAACUUUUUUCGUCCCGAUCUGGGAUUCGAACCCAGGCCCUCAGCGCUAUAGUCAUACUUGUCCGCGUACGCAUUACAACGACCACCGAGGCAUGCCAGGUUGUGUUACAACCCUCGGCUACUCUUUAUUGGUAAAAGGUAUAAUUUAUACAUACGUCUACGCAGUAUUGUAACUAUUUUCCCUCUGAACAUUACACUGCGUCUGUGUUUUCCCAAACCACUCAGGGGCCUUAUUCUCUAUCCCGCACGUUAUUUUGACAGUGCGUAACAAGCACGUAACACAACGCAUCAUGUUUAGGACUACAGAAAUUUGGCUUACAGAAUACCAUUCCACGCACAUUUCUCGAAGAUAACAUGACACGGCCGCGUUACGCGUUUACAUUAUCAUACAGAAUAAGGGCCCAGGAUUAAAUGCGUUUAACUUUAACACCUACAUGACAGAGAUGCACUGAGUAAGUGAAUCAAUAUAAGGUUGACUAAAGGCUAUAUAAGAGAAAGGAAAUAUUGUUUACCGCAUUCUUAGACCUAACAUCCGUACCAAUAUGUCUCGUUGCUUCCUUGUAUUUGUCGCCCUCAUCAUGGUCGUGGCAGUCUGCAGUGAAGGUGCUGAGGCUCUAAACAAACCAGGUCAGUGCCCGCGAGAGGCCGGUCCUGGAAGCUGUGACAAUAUGUGUACUAACGACUCCAGCUGUCCCGGAAUUCAGAAAUGCUGCAGAAACCCUUGCGGAUUUACCUGCGCAAACCCCAUUAUACUUUAAAAUGCUGUUAAUUUGCCAGAUGUUCCAAUUAAAAUUUGCUAGAACAUAAUCUA